UCAGAUUGACUUAGAAAAAGGGGGCUGAUUGUGUGAGAAUGGAGAAGGGAUUCAUGCCUCGUCGUGUUCGGGAGAAGGGUUGGUUGAUGGGAUCGCAAGCUUGGAGUGAUCACAGACGGUUGAAGUGAGAAAUUCAAGCUCCCGAUUGGAGCUAUGUCUCGGAGAUCUGAACGAAACAAUCCCUCAAGGUACACGCGAGUGGAGCCAUUUCGCGCGGCGGAGUCGAAAGUUGCGCUCAUAGAGGGAACUGAUUUGGGAUUGAUGGAUUAGAGCGCGCAACCUCGUGCAGGGAUCGGGAAAAAAGCUGUGGGGUAUUGACAGGUCUCUGAGUGCACUGCGGACAAGAUGGGGCAUCUAGCUGUGUCGAUGUGAAACUAAAGCCUGUCUGUACGUUGCACACUCUGAUUAUCGGCUCGAGACAUUCUAGAUGAAACUAUUCGUCUGGUUUCACAAUUGCAGAGCCUGCGUGUCCUUAUCCAUCGAGAACAACAUGGUUACACUGUGGCCGUCGUUGCGAUUCUCAGUUUUAGAACCAUACAGUUGAUACGCAAAUCAUCCUAUGGAAGGGCAGGUUUCACCUAUCGCGGGGAUGACCUGGACAGUUGCAUGAUUCUGUUGCACAAUAAUUUCUGUGUUUUGGAGUAACUGGAAAGAUUUCCCGAAGAGGUUAUUGCGAGUUCCGUCUUUAGCAUCAGUUAAGCUCGGCCUUCAGAAACACGCUUCUACAGCUUUAGAAUCAUCUCAGGAGACGUGUACUCACACCUCCUAAGACAGCGCUCGUCACCUGGCCGCGCAUGAUGUGGUUGGCAAUCUUCUGAGCCGAAACGAACUGUUGUAUUCACAGAUGCUCAGAUUCAUACCGAGGACAACAUCCCAUCUAUCAUCUGGUUAUCAACAAGAGGGUGGCUGCUUUAUGAGCAUCCUUCCAAAUCGCCAUCCCUCCAAACCCUCUUCUGCAACGUCGAUGCUGAUCCACGACUUACUCGAUGCUGGAAGUCGUGAGCUGUUCAACGAACAAAAAAGUUGUUGCAUCUGCCAAGCCAUGCCUUGUUUCUCACUCGUAAGCACCUCAACAUGCACUCUGUCGGCUUUGUAACACGAGAAUCUCGAGGCCAUUAUUUCAUAAUUGCCUGAGAUUCUCGAGUCUGUUUCUCUAGGAAGAAGACAACAGCAACUACCCAUUGGCGUUAAUUUCAUGCUGGUUCAUCUCUCCCGUUGGAACCCGAUUGCGCACCCUGGUCCAGUACCGAUGGGUCAUGCCCGCUAAACUUGGUCAUAUUUUGUCAUCGUCGGGAUGACGGAUCGCCCGAUUUAGUUACGACGUCAGUGGAUUCUUUGAUCCAUGGAAAAAGAAGCUUUCGACCCCAGUGAGCAAGGGCAAUGACACGACAUUCGGUUUAUCAUAUAUCUUUCCUCGUGGAGACAGGGAUUCUUCAUUCCAACUUCCGAACUUCCAUGACUCACAUGCUCGAUAGGCAGCGCCAUCGCACGAUCAUGACCAGUCCUCUGAUCCGAUCCAACUCGUGGACGAGUGAUGCCCGAAUGAAAACAGGCUGCUUCCUGGCAGUCCAUUGUUGACAACACGCGGCGUGCAGGAGAGCCACCCUUAGAAAACUGUCCACUGCAUUCCUUAUCUUCACCUGGGUCUGCUUCAACCGUUAAAGUUGCUCCACACAGAAGCUUACAACAACCAUGUUGACUUUCUCCCACAUACGCCACAAGUAUUGCAAGUUUUCGGGACACGGACAGACAUGAAACAGGAAAAUCAAGCACAUCAGGCUUCUGAGCCGCAAGAAUCAUACCGACACCUAUGUUGUACUGAGUUGCCGACGAGUAACUUUCCUGCUUCCGAAACUUUACCGACCACGAGCUUCGUGUGGUAGAUCUAGUUCUUGUCUGGUAAACCUGCCGAACGUUGCCGAAGGUGAUCGAUUGUCGACGCAUAUCGAUGCAGACCAAUGCAAGUUCUACUUCACCGACUCUUGGCGACGAAACCCAUGUAGUUUCACUGACAACAGACAUGUGUAGAUCUAGAUUCAAUAUACAAAGAAGUAAUUUCUUCAGUAGAAUGUCUAUAGCUCUUAUUCGUGAUGUUGUCAAUGGUAAGUCUGUAUGCUGUCUUGGAUACAAUGUGUCAAAGCAGGUACAAUUUGCAUCUAUUAGUAUAUUCCUCUCAGAUACUUGUGGAGGGAGUUACAAUAAAUUAGGGUUAACUAGACUAAUGAAGGGUUGGUGAAUACCAUAUUGAGUUGGGUCAAAGCCUAUUCUCUUCUUUGUGCAACUUGUGUAUUAUAAAAAUUUAGAAUAGAAUUGGUGUUAACAUUC